UUGGAGGAUGUAUAGGGGAAAAACUGGUAAAAAAGGUGAUGUAUCUAGUAAUAUUAGUGAUUAAUAUUACAUUAACAAGGUUAAUUAAAAUUCUAUGUAAAUAUUGAUUAUGACAGUAUUUGCUUAUGUCUUGACCAAGUCACGUGCCAGCAGUCGCGGUAAUACGUGGAAGAUUAGUGUUAUUCAUAUUUAACAGGUUUAAAGGGUACCUAGACGGUUAGUUAAACACUUAUAUGUAUUAAUUAACUAGAGUUUAAUGUAAGAAAGAUAGAGUACGGUGAGUGUAGAGAUAAAAUUUUAUGAUACCACUAAGGAACUGGUAAAGGCGAAGGCAACUUUCUAUGUAAAAACUGACGUUAAGGGACGAAGGCUCAACUAAAAAAACAGGAUUAGAUACCCUGGUAUUCUGAGCAGAAAAUGAUGAGUGUCAUAUGCAAGAAAUUUUUUGUGUAUAAAUGAAAGUGUAAGCACUCCACCUCAAGAGUAACGUGGCAACACGGGAACUGAAAUCAUUAGACCGUUUCUGAAACUCGUAGUGAAGUAUGUUGUUUAAUUUGAUAAUCCACAAAUAACCUUACCACCGAUUUGAAUUACAUUAAUAAAUCGAUUUAUUGAUGUAACAAGCGUUGCACGGCUGUCUUAAGUCAAUGUUGUGAAACUGUGGUUAGAUCCAUUAAAUUGACGACUUUAUUUAUUAUAAAGUAGUUCGCCGCUAUAUUGGUAGUGAUAAAA
rnacentral:rRNA from 1 species